AACUAUGCGCAGAGGCAAUAUCGUAACCAAUGAGGUUUAUCAGAGGUGCGAUUAUUGCUAUAGUUGAAAACUUAACCAAACUAUAUAUUAUCAUUUCAAAAUUGCUGGGAAAAGAAAACCCGCCUUUU